rnacentral:rRNA from 1 species
UNCCACGUGUAGCAGUGAAAUGCGUAGAGAUGUGGAGGAAUACCGAUGGCGAAGGCAGCCUCCUGGGAUAACACUGACGUUCAUGCCCGAAAGCGUGGGUAGCAAACAGGAUUAGAUACCCUGGUAGUCCACGCCCUAAACGAUGUCGAUUAGCUGUUGGGCAGCAUGACUGCUUAGUAGCGAAGCUAACGCGUGAGAUCGACCGCCUGGGGAGUACGGUCGCAAGAUUAAAACUCAAAGGAAUUGACGGGGACCCGCACAAGCGGUGGAUGAUGUGGAUUAAUUCGAUGCAACGCGAAGAACCUUACCUGGUCUUGACAUGUGCGGAACCCUCCAGAGACGGAGGGGUGCCUUCGGGAGCCGUAACACAGGUGCUGCAUGGCUGUCGUCAGCUCGUGUCGUGGGAUGUUGGGUUAAGUCCCGCAACGAGCGCAACCCUUGUCGUAGUUGCCAUCAUUAAGUUGGGCACUCUAAUGAGACUGCCGGUGACAAGCCGGAGGAAGGUGGGGAUGACGUCAAGUCCUCAUGGCCCUUAUGACCAGGGCUUCACACGUCAUACAAUGGUCGGUACAGAGGGUAGCCAAGCCGCGAGGUGGAGCCAAUCUCACAAAACCGAUCGUAGUCCGGAUUGCACUCUGCAACUCGAGUGCAUGAAGUCGGAAUCGCUAGUAAUCGCAGGUCAGCAUACUGCGGUGAAUACGUUCCCGGGUCUUGUACACACCGCCCGUCACACCAUGGGAGUGGGGGAUACCAGAAGUAGGUAGGGU